rnacentral:rRNA from 1 species
ACGAACGCUGGCGGCGUGCUUAACACAUGCAAGUCGAACGGAAAGGCCCUGCUUUUGUGGGGUGCUCGAGUGGCGAACGGGUGAGUAACCCGUGAGUAACCUGCCCUUGACUUUGGGAUAACCUCAGGAAACUGGGGCUCAUCCCGGCUAGGAGCUCCUGCUGCUUGGUGGGGGUUGGAAAGUUUCGGCGGUUGGGGAUGGACUCGCGGCUUAUCAGCUUGUUGGUGGGGUAGUGGCUUACCAAGGCUUUGACGGGUAGCCGGCCUGCGAGGGUGACCUGACACAUUAGGAUGGGAAUGCGACCCGGACUCCUACGGGAGGCGACGGUGGGGAAUAGUACACAAGGGGCGGAAGCCUGAUGCGGCAACGCCGCGUGCGGGAUGACAGCCAGCGGGUUGUAUUCCACUUUCGCCUGUGACGAAGCGUGAGUGACGGUAAUGGGUAAAGAAGCACCGGCUAACUACGUG